rnacentral:rRNA from 1 species
CCUACGGGAGGCAGCAGUGGGGAAUUUUGGACAAUGGACGCAAGUCUGAUCCAGCCAUGCCGCGUGCGGGAAGAAGGCCUUCGGGUUGUAAACCGCUUUUGUCAGGGAAGUAACGGCUCUCUCUAAUACAGAGGGCUAAUGACGGUACCUGAAGAAUAAGCACCGGCUAACUACGUGCCAGCAGCCGCGGUAAUACGUAGGGUGCAAGCGUUAAUCGGAAUUACUGGGCGUAAAGCGUGCGCAGGCGGUUAUGCAAGACAGAUGUGAAAUCCCCGGGCUCAACCUGGGAACUGCAUUUGUGACUGCAUAGCUAGAGUACGGUAGAGGGGGAUGGAAUUCCGCGUGUAGCAGUGAAAUGCGUAGAUAUGCGGAGGAACACCGAUGGCGAAGGCAAUCCCCUGGACCUGUACUGACGCUCAUGCACGAAAGCGUGGGGAGCAAACAGGAUUAGAUACCCUGGUAGUCCACGCCCUAAACGAUGUCAACUGGUUGUUGGGAGGGUUUCUUCUCAGUAACGAAGCUAACGCGUGAAGUUGACCGCCUGGGGAGUACGGCCGCAAGGUUGAAACUUAAGGAAUUGACGG